rnacentral:rRNA from 1 species
CCUACGGGAGGCAGCAGUAGGGAAUCUUCCACAAUGGGCGAAAGCCUGAUGGAGCAACGCCGCGUGGGUGAAGAAGGUCUUCGGAUCGUAAAACCCUGUUGUUAGAGAAGAAAGUGCGUGAGAGUAACUGUUCACGUUUCGACGGUAUCUAACCAGAAAGCCACGGCUAACUACGUGCCAGCAGCCGCGGUAAUACGUAGGUGGCAAGCGUUAUCCGGAUUUAUUGGGCGUAAAGGGAGUGUAGGCGGCUUAUCAAGUUAGAUGUGAAAUCCCGCGGCUUAACCGCGGAACUGCAUCUAAAACUGGUGAGCUGGAGUGCAGGAGAGGUGAGUGGAAUUCCUAGUGUAGCGGUGGAAUGCGUAGAUAUUAGGAGGAACACCAGAGGCGAAGGCGACUCACUGGACUGUAACUGACGCUGAGGCUCGAAAGCGUGGGGAGCAAACAGGAUUAGAUACCCUAGUAGUC